UACGAGGGGUGCGAGCAUUAUUCGGAAUUAUUGGGCGUAAAGGGUGCGUAGGUGGUAUGUUAAGUCAACUGUUUAAUUCUUCGGCCUAACCGGGGGCAUGCAGUAGAUACUGGCGUACUAGAGGGUGGAAGAGAGAAGUGGAAUUCUCGGAGUAGCGGUAAAAUGCGUAGAUCUCGAGAGGAACACCAAUGGCGAAGGCAGCUUCUUAGUCCAUACCUGACACUGAGGCACGAAAGCGUGGGGAGCAAACAGG
rnacentral:rRNA from 1 species